UACGUAGGGUGCAAGCGUUAAUCGGAAUUACUGGGCGUAAAGCGUGCGCAGGCGGUUUUGUAAGUCUGACGUGAAAUCCCCGGGCUCAACCUGGGAAUUGCGUUGGAGACUGCAAGGCUAGAAUCUGGCAGAGGGGGGUAGAAUUCCACGUGUAGCAGUGAAAUGCGUAGAGAUGUGGAGGAACACCGAUGGCGAAGGCAGCCCCCUGGGUCAAGAUUGACGUUCAUGCACGAAAGCGUGGGGAGCAAACAGG
rnacentral:rRNA from 1 species